UACGUAGGGUCCGAGCGUUGUCCGGAUUUAUUGGGCGUAAAGAGCUUGUAGGCGGUUUGUCGCGUCUGCUGUGAAAUUUCGGGGCUCAACCCCGAACUUGCAGUGGGUACGGGCAGACUAGAGUGUGGUAGGGGAGACUGGAAUUCCUGGUGUAGCGGUGAAAUGCGCAGAUAUCAGGAGGAACACCGAUGGCGAAGGCAGGUCUCUGGGCCACUACUGACGCUGAGAAGCGAAAGCAUGGGGAGCGAACAGG
rnacentral:rRNA from 1 species